rnacentral:tRNA from 136 species
GGGCCUGUAGCUCAGGGGUUAGAGCAGUCGACUCAUAAUCGAUUGGUCGCGGGUUCGAAACCCGCCGGGCCCACCA